AUACAGCAUACGGUCCUUUUUGAGCGGGCGUUACCUUGCAGGAGUUCUCCGAGGUCGCCCGGCAUCAGGCGCUCGUCCGCGUCACCGUUCUGCCUCGGUCGGGGUCCGGGGAAGAACCCCGAGCCGCUGCCUAUGACGCCGGGUGAACUUUGAGACGCCAAAAUCUUGGCAUACGGGGCGGAAUCGCUCGGGGAUGCUGGCGCCCCCGAGGGUUGCGGGUUGGAAGUCCAGCGGUUGGGGAGCGAAGAGGCCGUUGGACGGGCGACGGAGGGCCCGUUGGGAGCUUUGUCUCGCUCGGUGGCGUCGGCGAGGAGAACCCCUCGGCCGGUCGCCGUGGAGACCGAGGAGGAAGAGGUCAGUCUCGAAGACGAACAGGAAGAGGAUGAUGAAGAGGACGACGACGAAGAGGAGAAAGAGGAGGAGUUGCUGUUCUUCACAGGAGACUGAAGGGUCGACAAAAGUUGCCAACCAAACGAGGGGAGGACGGGCGAGGAUGACGUGGGAGACGUGGGUGUGCUGCUGAAGAUCUCGUCCUCCAAGUGCGACUGUCCCGGAGGCGACGUCGCCACCUGCGACGCGGCUGAAGCGACACACGCAGAACAUCCAGGUCGUCGUAGAGAAAGGCGUUCUCCUCAAAGUCGGGAUCCUGCGACGAGUCCAGUGGAGAUGGUCUCCUUGGAAGCCAACCUUGAUCUUCUGGAUGGAGUCCACCUGCAGCGAGUCAUUGUCCAGCAUCCUCAGGAUGGUCUCCAGCAUCCGGAUGUGGUAGCGAUGCUUCUCGAUGUACUUCUUCAACUCCUCCAAGCGGACCUGCUUCUACAAAAAAAAAAAAAAAUACAAAGUUUUGUCAUAGAACUAAAAAAAAAUGCUCGAUACCAUUUUUGAUAGCACAUAACCACACAAAAAAAAUGAUUAACUCUUUCAGUGCCAGUGACGAUGACAAAUGUCCAAUCAUGUGGCCUCCAAUCACCCUUCUGCUGAGGAAUUGAGAUGAGUUUUUCACCAGUAGACGACCAAUACAUUUAAAGUUGGAGGGAUGGCAGGGGAGGAAUUUUUAUGGUAAAUGAGGUCAAAGGUCACAGGGUUCUGUUUGUAUGAUCGUGUCCAAGAACGAAUAAGGGAUUAUUAUCAAAUUUUGCGUUUGGAAUAUGACACAAAAAGUAAUUACAUUUUGGGGUUGUGAGGUCAAAGGUCACAGUUCAGAAAUAUAUUUGAUUUCAAGAUAACUCAAGCAUGAAUAAAGAGGUCAUUAUCAAAUUUAUAAAACAAAUUUGGAAUAUGAAACAGAAGAGGUGGUUACAUUUCUGGGUAAUGAGGUCAAAGGUCACAGGGUUCUGUUUGUAUGUUUGAGUCCAAGACCGAAUAAGAGCCCAUCAAAUUCACAGGAGAUAUUCGGAAUAUGAAACGAGGUGCUUAAAAUUUGAGGUUAUGAGGUCAAAGCUCAGAAAUAUUUGGUCAUCAAGAUAACUAACUUGUAGAACGUCUGGAAAAUGAAACAGUAGAGGUGGUUACAGUUUAAGGUAAUAAGGUCAAAGGUCACAAAAAUUUGUAUUUUUUUGUCUAUUUGAAAUGUCUAAAAAAAUGAAUAAAGGGAUUAUUAUCCAAUUUUUUUAAG